GCCAGGCACCUGCGGGCCGCGCUCAUUGGCCGAGCGAGCCGGAACCCUCGGCCAAUCAGAGGAGACCACGAGGACACCUUUCGGUAAGGUUCGGCAAAGAUCCAACUCCGGGGAACGUUCAGAUCUGUGACCAAGGUGUGUAGUUUCUCUGAUAGCGCCACCUGGUGGAAAGAUGCAAAAAACGAUGACGGCAAGGUUGUCUUCUGACAUCUCUGGUUGAGUCAACACAUUGAAGGAGUUUUGCUCACCAUGUAGGCGUCGGGCCCUUGCAGUUGCUUAUGUCGAGGGUGAAGGCUCUGGAUGGAGCUCUGGACGGAGAUGCCAAAAUACAAGCUCGUAGGACUCGGGAACUAAUGAUCGAGCAACUCGUUCGCAGCGAUGCAGCUACUUUGCAUAUCAAAUUUGCAAAGGAAUCCAAGUUGUUUUUUCAAAUAAAUCAGGUAAUUUGAACCUUAUUAGGAUGUUGCAUCACGGUUUUUAAUCUAAAUAGUUUUUACAGUUUUUAUAACCUGCUCUUUUGCACAUUGCUAUUUAUUAUGUGUCAAGAAUUACGCAGUUCCUUCCUACGACCAUUCAGCUCAAUUCUUUUUCUAUUUUUUUAUUUGAGUGUAGACAAAAUACAUGCACUUCCAACAGCUUUUAGCUAACCAGCCACGUGUUGUUUGUUGUCUUUCGGGUUAGAGCAACGCCGGCAUCUGGUCUGUUGACUGCCGCUUCUGUUCCGGACCGUGUACGCUACUUGUUUCGCGUUUUCUCUUUUUCAAUGUGUCUCAUUUUGUUUUACUCGUGUUGUCUUGUUUGCUGUUUUCUGUGUCUCUCCCGUCCACCGCGCAUCUCCGCAGCUCCAGUCGCACUUAUCUGUUCCCUCUCUCUCAGACUACCAGCUACGUUAGCCAGCUAGCUAACAGCCAGCUGGCUAAACCACCACCCUCCUGCCUCCUGGCUUGCUCUGGACUCGGGUGGACCCAAAUUUGGAUCUGCUACCUCUUCCCCCUUGGUUAUGUCAUCCACAAAUUCAACCUGGACUUCCACUGUUACGCUGAUGACAACCAGAUCUACAUACGCCCCACACCCACCCGAAACCCUCCCCUCACCCACCUUGAAACUUGCAUCUCUACAAUAAAAACACGGCUGACCCACAACUUCCUCAAACUCAACAGUGACAAAACAGAGCUCCUCCUCAUAGGCACUAAAUCCAUCCUUAAUAAAACUGGACCCAUCUCACUCACCAUCGACUCCUCGACCAUCCCUCCCUCCCCUCUGGCAUGCAAACUCUUCGAUAUCCAGGACCCCACCCUCUCCUUCCACCCUCAUGUUAGCUCCGUUGUCAAGACCUCCUACUUCCUCUGUUGCAUCACCAAAAUCCGACACUGCCUCUCUCUUCCUGCUGCUGAAUCCCUCAUCCAUCUCCUCCCGGCUUGACUACUGCAACUCCCUUCUCAUUGGCAUCACUGCUCCCUCCAUUGACUUCAACUAGUCCACAACACUGUUGCCGCCCUCCUUACCCACACCUCACCUGUUUUCCUGUAAGCAUCUUUGGGUCCUUGAAAAGGGCUAUAUA